rnacentral:rRNA from 1 species
AUUGAACGCUGGCGGCAGGCCUAACACAUGCAAGUCGAGCGGAGCGGCGGACGGGUGAGUAAUGCCUAGGAAUCUGCCUGGUAGUGGGGGAUAACGUCCGGAAACGGGCGCUAAUACCGCAUACUCUCAGAUGAGCCUAGGUCGGAUUAGCUAGUUGGGGGGGUAACGGCCUACCAAGGCAAUGAUGCAUAGCCGACCUGAGAGGGUAAUCGGCCACAUUGGGACUGAGACACGGCCCAAACUCCUACGGGAGGCAGCAGUAGGGAAUCUUCCGCAAUGGGCGCAAGCCUGACGGAGCAACGCCGCGUGAGUGAAGAAGGUCUUCGGAUUGUAAAGCACUUUAAGUUGGGAGGCGUUACCAACAGAAUAAGCACCGGCUAACUUCGUGCCAGCAGCCGCGGUAAUAC